AAUACAUGCAAGUCGAGCGAACUGAUUAGAAGCUUGCUUCUAUGACGUUAGCGGCGGACGGGUGAGUAACACGUGGGCAACCUGCCUGUAAGACUGGGAUAACUUCGGGAAACCGAAGCUAAUACCGGAUAGGAUCUUCUCCUUCAUGGGAGAUGAUUGAAAGAUGGUUUCGGCUAUCACUUACAGAUGGGCCCGCGGUGCAUUAGCUAGUUGGUGAGGUAACGGCUCACCAAGGCAACGAUGCAUAGCCGACCUGAGAGGGUGAUCGGCCACACUGGGACUGAGACACGGCCCAGACUCCUACGGGAGGCAGCAGUAGGGAAUCUUCCGCAAUGGACGAAAGUCUGACGGAGCAACGCCGCGUGAGUGAUGAAGGCUUUCGGGUCGUAAAACUCUGUUGUUAGGGAAGAACAAGUACGAGAGUAACUGCUCGUACCUUGACGGUACCUAACCAGAAAGCCACGGCUAACUACGUGCCAGCAGCCGCGGUAAUACGUAGGUGGCAAGCGUUAUCCGGAAUUAUUGGGCGUAAAGCGCGCGCAGGCGGUUUCUUAAGUCUGAUGUGAAAGCCCACGGCUCAACCGUGGAGGGUCAUUGGAAACUGGGGAACUUGAGUGCAGAAGAGAAAAGCGGAAUUCCACGUGUAGCGGUGAAAUGCGUAGAGAUGUGGAGGAACACCAGUGGCGAAGGCGGCUUUUUGGUCUGUAACUGACGCUGAGGCGCGAAAGCGUGGGGAGCAAACAGGAUUAGAUACC
rnacentral:rRNA from 2 species